rnacentral:rRNA from 1 species
GCCAAACAGCUAGCUUAGCCACCUACACCUACUUAACAACAUUAAAAUAGGGGAUAAUAACAUAAAAACGUAAAUCAAACCAUUUUCCCACUUUAGUACGGGAGACAGAAAAAGAAAUAUAUUAAGCAAUAGAAAAAGUACCGCAAGGGAAAGCUGAAAGAGCAAUGAAACAAGUCAUUCUUAGCAAAAAAAAGCAGAGAUUAAAACUCGUACCUUUUGCAUCAUGAUUUAGCAAGAAUAAUACAAGCAAAGUGACCUUUAGUUUGUAACCCCGAAACCAGGCGAGCUACCCCGGGACAGCCUACAAGGGCCAACCCAUCUCUGUGGCAAAAGAGUGGGAAGAUCCCCGGGUAGGGGUGACAGACCUACCGAGCCUGGUGAUAGCUGGUUGCCUAAGAAAUGGAUAGAAGUUCAGCCUCGUACCCCUUUAACCAAAACAGCAACAGCCAACCUAGGACAAAAGCGAAAUACGAGAGUUAGCUAAAGGGGGUUCAGCCCCUUUAAUUAAAGAUACAACUUUACCGGAAGGAUACGGAUUAUAUUAACCAAAACUAGUUGUCCUAGUGGGCCUAAAAGCAGCCAUCUGACCAGAAAGCGUUAAAGCUCAGACAACAAAAAAUUUAUUAUUUCAAUAAAAAAUCCUACCCCUCCAAUAGUAUUAGGCCGCUCCAUGCCAACAUGGAAGAGAUUAUGCUAAAAUGAGUAACAAGAGAACAAACUUCUCUCCUAGCACAAGUGUAAGCCAGAUCGGACUAACCACUGGCAACUAACGAACCCAACAAAAGAGGGCAACAUGAACUAUUAGGCAAAACAAGAAAACCCCAUGACCCAUCAAUCGUUAACCCCACACCGGAGUGCCUUAUGAAGGAAAGACUAAAAGGAAGGGAAGGAACUCGGCAAACACAAGCCUCGCCUGUUUACCAAAAACAUCGCCUCCUGCAAAACUCAAAGUAUAGGAGGUCCAGCCUGCCCAGUGACCACAAGUUCAACGGCCGCGGUAUUUUGACCGUGCAAAGGUAGCGCAAUCACUUGUCUUUUAAAUGAAGACCUGUAUGAAUGGCCAAACGAGGGCUUAGCUGUCUCCCCUAUCAAGUCAGUGAAAUUGAUCUGCCCGUGCAGAAGCGGACAUAAACCUACAAGACGAGAAGACCCUUUGGAGCUUAAGGUACAAACCCAACCGUGUUUAACAGCUUGCCUAACAAGCACCAAACCUAACGGACGCAUGGGACCUACCUUCGGUUGGGGCGACCACGGAGAAAAACAUAUCCUCCGAGUGGAAUGAGAUAACACAACUUAAAACUAAGAAAGACAUUUCUAAGUCACAGAAAAUCUGACCAACAAUGAUCCGGCUAUAUCGGCCGAUCAACGGACCAAGUUACCCUAGGGAUAACAGCGCAAUCCUCUCCCAGAGUCCAUAUCGACGAGGGGGUUUACGACCUCGAUGUUGGAUCAGGACAUCCUAAUGGUGCAGCCGCUAUUAAGGGUUCGUUUGUUCAACGAUUAAAGUCCUACGUGAUCUGAGUUCAGACCGGAGUAAUCCAGGUCAGUUUCUAUCUGUAACGUCAUUUUUCCUAGUACGAAAGGACCGGAAAAACGAGGCCUAUAUUAAAAACACGCCUCACCCCUAAUUAAUGAAAACAACUAAAUUAAAUAAAGGGCGGACCCAAACAUUAAGGCCAAGAUAAAGCCAC